rnacentral:rRNA from 1 species
GACGAACGCUGGCGGCGUGCCUAAUACAUGCAAGUAGAACGCUGAAGGAGGAGCUUGCUUCUCCGGAUGAGUUGCGAACGGGUGAGUAACGCGUAGGUAACCUGCCUGGUAGCGGGGGAU